AGCCGCUGUGAAAAACCAAGUGCAGCAAAUGAACUCGGAGCUUGACAUCAUUCCGGGGGGCUUGACGAAGGAACUCCAACCGCUGGACAUCGGUGUAAACAGGGCGUUCAAAGUGAAGUUGCGAGCGGCGUGAGAGCGAUGGAUGACAUCAUUUCUGAGGAGCCGCACGGCAACGAGACUGACUCUGACAAUGACGAGAGGGAACCUGACGUGUUUGAAGGAGAACUUGCCCCGCUGUUCAGUUGGGAUACAGAAGAUGAGGACUUUGAUGGAUUUGUGGAUGAGGAUUGAUCGAAAAUAACGAAUCUCCUGCAAAAACGGAUGUCAAAGAUCUCUUAUAGCAGCGGUUCUCAACUGGUUUGGCUGCAGGAUCAACGCUGACCCGUGGUGUAGCAUCUGGAGGAAGAGUCGCUACCGAUGCAGGGUCGCGGGGACAUGCUGGAGCCUAUCCCAGCUGACUUCGGGCGACAGGCAGGGAACACCUGAACUGGUCGCCAGCCAAUCGCAGGGCACACAUAUGGACAAACAACCAUUCACACUCACAUUCAUACCUAUGGACAAUUUAGAGUCACCAAUGAACCUCACCUGCAUGUUUUUGGAAUGUGGGAGGAAGCCGGAGUACCUGGAGAAAACCCACGCACACACGGGGAGAACAUGCAAACUCCACACAGAGAUGCCCAGGGGAGAAUCGAACUCAGGUCUUCCCGAUCUCCUCGGAGACUGUGUUGGCCAACGUGCUAACCACUAGACCACCGUGCGGCCCACAUAAUAUCAGUGAAUGUUAAUAUUAUGUUAUUGUUGUGAAUGUCACUUUCUUGGCUUUGGUGCGAGUUAAUGGUUGCAUGAGCUUGAAUCUGGUUCCCGGAACGUAGUCUGGCAGUGACAUCGCAACCAAGAUUGUGUCGGUUCAGAAAACUAACUGGGGCCGUGUCGAAAUCACCACUUCACUCUUAUUUCCAUCCAUCCAUCCAUUUGCCGUUCCAGCGUUUGCCAUUCAUUCAUAUAAUAGACAUUUUACAAAUUUUUUCUAUUCUCAUUGUAAAAAAGGGACUAAGGGACACAGAAUAAUUCAGUUUUUAAAGGGAACCCCAGUUGUGCCAUGUAUUUCAUACUUCAUCUUUUUUUUUAUGCGAGUGUGAGCUUUAUUUCAUCAUGUCACCAUCGUGCGUCGCUGAAAAACCUUGUGUGAAACAGUGGGUAGGAAAACACACUCUUUUCCGCAUUGAAUUUUUCUGUCAAUAUCAAUGUCUGCGGUGAAAGAUGGGUACGCAUAUUUGACCCCUGCUGAUUGACGUUGACUUUUUUCUGCUCAACAACCUUUAUAAAUGACACCCCAGAUCUGCCAGAGAAUAAAAAGAUGUAGCAGGAGGGAUCAGUGUUGCCAACUUGUGGCCUGAUCUAAAUUAUAAAACGUAUAUUCUUGACAACGUAUUUUGUGUGUUUGCCUUCAAGAAUAUGCAGAAUAUAUGCAGAUUAUUGAGGAGCAAACCUGUUUGCAGUCUGUGUUUUUGCGUUUGGAAGGCAUUUGCAAACUGGCACAGCGUUACACACAGCUGGUCAUUGUGGUGAAAAGGAGGCAUGCAAUGACAGAGUUUUCCGUGCUCUUGUCAACACAUUUGGACUGUCAGGAAUAAAUAGAUACAUACACAUAUAUAUAUAUAUAUAUAUAUAUAUAUACUGUAUAUAUAUAUACACACACACACA